AUACGUAGGGUGCGAGCGUUGUCCGGAAUUACUGGGCGUAAAGAGCUCGUAGGUGGUUUGUCGCGUCGUCUGUGAAAUUCCGGGGCUUAACUCCGGGCGUGCAGGCGAUACGGGCAUAACUUGAGUACUGUAGGGGAGACUGGAAUUCCUGGUGUAGCGGUGAAAUGCGCAGAUAUCAGGAGGAACACCGGUGGCGAAGGCGGGUCUCUGGGCAGUAACUGACGCUGAGGAGCGAAAGCAUGGGUAGCGAACAGGAUUAGAUGCCUUGGUAGUCCAUGCCGUAAACGGUGGGCGCUAGGUGUAGGGGUCUUCCACGACUUCUGUGCCGUAGCUAACGCAUUAAGCGCCCCGCCUGGGGAGUACGGCCGCAAGGCUAAAACUCAAAUGAAUUGACGGGG
rnacentral:rRNA from 1 species